UACGGGGGGGGCAAGCGUUGUUCGGAAUUACUGGGCGUAAAGGGCUCGUAGGCGGCCAACUAAGUCAGACGUGAAAUCCCUCGGCUUAACCGGGGAACUGCGUCUGAUACUGGAUGGCUAGAGGUUGGGAGAGGGAUGCGGAAUUCCAGGUGUAGCGGUGAAAUGCGCAGAUAUCAGGAGGAACACCAAUGGCGAAGGCAGCUCACUGGGACGGUACUGACGCUGAGACGCGAAAGCGUGGGGAGCAAACAGG
rnacentral:rRNA from 1 species